CAGUCCUACGGGGGGCAGCAGUGGGGAAUAUUGGACAAUGGGGGGAACCCUGAUCCAGCGACGCCGCGUGAGUGAAGAAGUAUUUCGGUAUGUAAAGCUCUAUCAGCAGGGAAGAAAGAAAUGACGGUACCUGACUAAGAAGCCCCGGCUAACUACGUGCCAGCAGCCGCGGUAAUACGUAGGGGGCAAGCGUUAUCCGGAUUUACUGGGUGUAAAGGGAGCGUAGACGGCAGGGCAAGUCUGGAGUGAAAGCCCGGGGCCCAACCCCGGGACUGCUUUGGAAACUGCCAUGCUAGCGUGCUGGA
rnacentral:rRNA from 1 species